AAUGAACGCUGGCGGCGUGGUUAAGACAUGCAAGUCGAACGGUUUUUCGGUUGUAGCAAUACAACUGAAAAGCAGUGGCGAACGGGUGCGUACACGUGAACAAUUUAACUUCAAAUGGGGAAUAGCUCGGCGAAAGCCGGAUUAAUACCGCAUGUGGUUGGCAGCUGCAUGGUUGCCAUACUAAAGUCGGGGACCGCAAGGCCUGACGUUUGAAGCGAAGUUCGCGGCCUAUCAGCUAGUUGGCGGGGUAACGGCCCACCAAGGCCAAUACGGGUAGGUGGUCUGAGAGGAUGAUAAGCCACACUGGAACUGAGACGCGGUCCAGACACCUACGGGUGUCAGCAGUUUCGAAUCAUUCACAAUGGGCGAAAUCCUGAUGGUGCGGCUCCGCGUGAGUGAUGAAGGUCUUCGGAUUGUAAACCUCUGUCACCGGGGAAGAAACGCUUCAAUUUAACAGAUUGAAGCCAGACUUAACCCGGAGAGGAAGCAGUGGCUAACUCUGUGCCAGCAGCCGCCGUAACAC
rnacentral:rRNA from 1 species